UCACACUCGUCCCCUACGCGCAUAACCCACAGCUGCCAACUCACACACUCGCAUUUUCCCUCUCUCUCUUGAUGCGCCUGCGCUUCCUCCCUCCAAGCCCAAUCAAAACCUCACUGUUCCAUCUCCUCUUCCCCCCCAACUCGCUCCGAACCAACUCUGUCAACUCGCCCAGACUCUUCUCAACUCGGAGAUCGUCACUUCCUAGAAUGGCGAUCCCUCCUAAGCUGAUAUCCUCUUCCUCUUCCUCCAUCGCUACUAGUGCUCCAGGAAACAGCCUGGAAUGUCUCGCUAGUAAAUUGUGGAUCAAGUUCCGCCGAGAAUCAAUUUUCGCUAUGUACACUCCCUUCGUUGUUUGCUUAGCGGCUGGAAACCUGAAGAUUGAGACUUUUAGGAAUUAUAUCUCUCAAGAUUUACACUUUCUUAAAGCCUUUGCCCAUGCGUAUGAGUUGGCAGAAGAAUGUGCUGAUGAUGAUGAUGCAAAGAUAGCUAUCACUGAGUUGAGGAAGAGGGUCUUGGAGGAGCUAAAGAUGCACAAUUCAUUUGCACAGGAAUGGGGUACUAUAGACCUUUCUAAAGAGGGGCCUAUCAACUCUGCAACUGUAAAAUACAAAGAUUUCUUGUUAGCUACGGCUUCUGGGAAGGUUGAAGGAGUUAAAGGUCCUGGAAAACUUGCAACUCCUUUUGAAAGAACAAAAGUUGCAGCUUAUACUCUUGGUGCCAUUACACCUUGCAUGCGGCUGUAUGCUUUUCUAGCUAAGGAGUUGCAAGCACUUGUGGAUUCAGAGGAUGGUAGUCAUCCUUAUAAGAAGUGGAUUGACAAUUACUCAUCUGAUGGUUUUCAGGCAUCAGCUCUGCAAACUGAAGACUUGCUGGAUAAACUUAGUGUCUCUUUGACAGGCGAAGAGCUUGACAUCAUUGAAAAGCUUUAUCACCAGGCCAUGAAACUUGAAAUCGAGUUCUUCAAUGUGCAGCCACUUUCUCAGCCCGCUGUGGUUCCUCUAACAAAAGAGCAUAACCCUGUAGAAGAUCGCCUCGUGAUAUUUUCUGAUUUUGAUUUGACAUGCACUAUUGUUGAUUCCUCUGCCAUUUUGGCAGAGAUUGCAAUCAUAACAGCACCCAAAUCUGAUCAGGCUCAACCUGGCAAUCAGAUUGCUAGGAUGUCAUCAGCUGAUCUGAGGAACACUUGGGGUCUUCUCUCUGGCCAAUACACAGAAGAAUAUGAACAAUGUAUAGAAAGCAUUCUGCCCCCUGAAAAAGUGGAAUUCAACUAUGAAGUUCUGUGUAAAGCACUUGAGCAACUUUCAGACUUCGAGUCAAAGGCAAAUGCUAGAGUGAUUGAAUCUGGAGUUCUUAAGGGUCUGAAUCUUGAAGACAUUAAAAGAGCUGGUGAACGACUGAUUUUUCAAGAUGGUUGCACCAGCUUUUUUCAGAAAAUUGUGAAGAACGAAAAUUUGAAUGCUAAUGUACAUGUGCUUUCAUAUUGUUGGUGUGCUGAUCUCAUCAGAUCUGCUUUCUCAUCAGGGGGUUUGGAUGCUCUGAAUAUACAUGCAAAUGAGUUCUCUUUCGAAGUUUCAUUUUCCACAGGCGACAUUAUUAAAAAGGUGGAAUCUCCCAUAGACAAAGUUCAAGCUUUCAAUAACAUUUUAGAGAACUAUGGCACUGACAGAAAGAACUUGACUGUCUAUAUUGGAGACUCAGUUGGCGACCUGCUUUGUCUGCUUCAGGCGGAUAUAGGCAUUGUGAUUGGGUCUAGCUCAAGCCUAAGGAGAGUGGGAAGUCAGUUUGGUGUGUCGUUUUUACCAUUGUUUCCUGGCUUGGUUAAAAAACAGAAAGAGUAUAUCAAGGAAAGUUCUUCUAAUUGGAAUGGGCAAUCUGGCAUCCUGUACACAGUUUCUAGCUGGGCUGAAAUACAUGCUUUCAUUUUGGGGUGGUAGAAUUUUUUUUUGUUCUCACGCUAUCUUCUGGAAGUUAGCAAGGACAAAUGAAGGAAUCAUUAUAUAAAAUGGAACCCACAUACAAAUUGGUGGCUAAAUUUUAUUAGGGCCACGGAAUUUCUUCUGUUUCCCUUAUUCUUUACAGGGUCAUCCAUUCUGAACAUGAUGCUACUUUGUUGGCUGGAUAAUGCAGUGAACUUGGCAUCGAGAGGCCGUAGGAAGCAUGCAUUAUAAGAAGAGUUGCUAUCAAUUUGUUCAUAUGAGCAUGCAUUAUAAGAAGAGUUGCUAUCAAUUUGUUCAUAUGAAUAUUUCAGAUAUUAAUACUGAUACUCCUAUAUAUUUGUGCAAGUCAGAUGCUAUUGCAAAUAUGAUUUUUGGCAGAUAUAGCAUUUUGGAAUUAUAACAUGUGAAUUUUAGUUGACGCCAGAUGUAGAAGGAUUAGGUUCCUUCUGGCAAUUGUUUGUAUGCUGCGGCUCUUAUGCUCGGUGAGAGGACACACCCCCUUGGUAGAUUUAUUGCUGAAGCAUUGUGUCUCUAUAUACUUGAGUAAUAUUUCUUGACAAUUUUGCUGAGGUGAUCUGCAAAAUCACCGUUUUGGCCCUGCUCGGGAUGCUGGCCAAUGACUUGUAGCUUCAGUAGCUUUACUUCUCUAUCCUAGCUCAUAAAAACUAUAAUGAUAUUUAUCUUUUUUUCUUUUUUGAAAUAUGCUUCAUUUAGCAUUUAAAGCUUUUAGUAGGACAGUGCAUGAAAGGGAGGGGGAAGACUCGAACUUAAAAUUUCGAAAGUAAGCAUUAUGCCUUUUGGCCAGUUAAACUAGGCUGCGUGGAUUAUUUCUCCAACUCAUUUAAAAGGAAAUUGUCUUCUUGAUC